GAGUCCAGGACAUGUCAGGCUGAAGCUUGAAUGCGCCAAGAAACGGAUGAGGGCAGCUUGGUCCCCACUCCUUCAAAGGAAAUUGGAAAACAGGAAACGCAUUGGGGUGUCGCGUCUGUAACUUAGCAACAACUGAACCGAUGACUUCACAUCCUUUGUCGGCAACAGCUGGGGGUGAAAUGUAAGCGGCUGCUAAAACAACACUGAACUCUCCUGUGGCCCCCCGUCAGCAGCCGCGGGCUCGGAACCCUGAUGACUUCAUAAUAUCUGGGUUCGGAGUCAGAACAGCUGGGAGUCCAUGGUGAUCCAGGCUUGUGUAACCACUUUGUCACCGCCUUUCAAAGACACGCUCACAUUCGGCGCAGAAUAAAUGUUUUCGUCAUGUUUCGCACUAGAACCGAACUAUUUUCAACCUGCCUCCCUUCCUCCGGCCAAACGCCGGUGGUUCCCGGCUGCUGCCUCCGACCGCCUGGCGGAGAACUACGGGU